rnacentral:rRNA from 1 species
ACAAGCGGUGAGUAUGUGGUUUAAUUCGAUGCAACGCGAAGAACCUUACCUGGUCUUGACAUCCCGGAGACCCUUAGGAAACUAGGGGGUGCUUCCAUCUGGAAGAAUCUGGAGACAGGUGCUGCAUGGCUGUCGUCAGCUCGUGUCGUGAGAUGUUGGGUUAAGUCCCGCAACGAGCGCAACCCUUGCCUUUAGUUGCCAGCAGUUCGGCUGGGCACUCUAAAGGGACUGCCGGUGUUAAACCGGAGGAAGGUGGGGAUGACGUCAAGUCCUCAUGGCCUUUAUGACCAGGGCUACACACGUACUACAAUGGCCGAUACAAAGGGCAGCGACACUGCGAGGUGAAGCCAAUCCCGUAAAAUCGGUCUCAGUCCGGAUUGGAGUCUGCAACUCGACUCCAUGAAGUUGGAAUCGCUAGUAAUCGUGGAUCAGCAUGCCACGGUGAAUACGUUCCCGGGCCUU